CCUACGUGAGGCAGCAGUGGGGAAUAUUGCACAAUGGGCGAAAGUCUGAUCCAGCCACGCCGCGUGAGGGAAGAAGGAAUUCUUUACUUAAAGCUCUAUCAGUAGGGAAGUAAAUGACGGUACCUGAGUAAGAAUCCCAGUCUAACUACGUUCCAGCAGCCGCGAUAAUACGUAGGGGGCAAGCGUUAUCCGGAUUUACUGGGUGUAAAGGGAGUGUAGACGGUGCGCCAAGUCUGGAGUGAAAUGCCUCAGCUUAACUGGGGAAGUGCUUUUGAGACUGGCGAACUAGAGUUCGGGAGCGGUAAGCGGAAUUCCUGGUGUAGCGGUGAAAUGCGUAGAUAUUAGGAGGAACACCGGUGGCGAAGGCAGCUUACUGGACCAUAACUGACGUUGAGGCUCGAAAGCGUGGGGAGCAAACAGGAUUAGAUACCCUUGUAGUC
rnacentral:rRNA from 1 species